rnacentral:rRNA from 1 species
AGUGAACGCUGGCGGCGUGCCUAAUACAUGCCCGUCGAAGGAAGCGGCGCACGGGAGUGUAAUAUAUAGCUAAUCUGCCCCUUGCUAGAGGACCACAGUUAGAAAUGACUGCAAAUACUCCAUAGCAAGGGAUGAGACAAUAACGUAUCAGCUAGUCGGUGGGGUAACGGCCUACAGAGGCUAUGACGCGUAAAUGGUCUGAGAGGAUGAUCAGUAACAUUGGAUCUGAGACACAGUGCAAACACCUACGGGAGGCAGCAGUAGGGGAUAAAGCGCAAUGGGGGAAACCCUGACGAAGCAACUCAGCGUGGAGGUUGACACUUGUCGGAACGUAAACUCCUUUUAGCAGGAAAGCGGUACCCGAUGAAUAAGCACCGGCUAACUCCGGGCCAGCCGCCGCGGUAAUAC